ACUACAUGAAGCCGGAAUCGCUAGUAAUCGCGGAUCAGAAUGCCGCGGUGAAUACGUUCCCGGGUCUUGUACACACCGCCCGUCACACCAUGGGAGCCGGAAAUGCCCGAAGUCAGUGACCCAACCGCGAGGAGGGAGCUGCCGAAGGCAGGUCUGGUAACUGGGGUGAAGUCGUAACAAGGUAUC
rnacentral:rRNA from 1 species